GCCGGGUGUGGUGGCUCACACCUGUGCUCCCAGCUACUUGGGAGGCUGAGGCAGGAGAAUCACUUGAGCCCAGGAGGUCAAGGCUGCAGGGCGCCAUGAAUGCACCACUGCACUCCAGCCUGGGAGACAGAGCGAGACCCUGUCUCUA
rfam:Pan troglodytes isolate Yerkes chimp pedigree #C0471 (Clint) chromosome 21, whole genome shotgun sequence.